rnacentral:tRNA from 1 species
GAAUAGGAUAAAUUUUUAGUCUUCUAGGUUCAUACCCUUGAGGUGUUUUUUUUUGCUUCUAC